AAUGUCGUAACAAGGGUUUCCGUAGGUGAACCUGCGGAAUGGAUCAUUAAUUGAGGAUCAUGCCCGUUCGGGGUUAGACCUCCCAAGCCCCCAUGUUUCACCGUACCCGGUUGGCUUUCGGCGGUCCCAGUUUGGCAAAGGACAGGCCGCCAAAGGGACCUUUGAAAAUCCCGGUAUUAUCAUUGUCGUCUGAGUACUAUACAAGUAGUUCAAAAGG
rnacentral:misc_RNA from 1 species